GAUGUGAAGUCCAAAUAUGUUGUUUCAAUAAGGCACCAAUAUUUCAUUUUGAUUUCCUGGAUUUCAUUCAUUUUGAUAUUCUACGUUAAAUAUAUGUCUAACAUGUUUCAACAUUAUAAAAACAAAAUGUUCUGAAUCAAACUUUUUUUGGAAUUUCCAUGCUGUGAAAAGGUUCAAAAACUUGACUUUUUGUUCCCAAAUAAAUUUCAGAAUGUUGGUAUUUUCUGCAGGAUGGAAAUUCCCCUUUCUAGCCAGCUCUGUGGAAAGUGUAUGUCCCCUGGUACAGAACACCUCCCAGACUGAGCAAGACUUGAAUUCCUAGUGUGCUCUAAUAGAAACCUCUGGAAGAGAAGCAAGGUGACAGGAUGCUAGAGACCCAAGUACAUGUAUGUUCUUGGUGUUGCGCAGAUAUCACACAUUCUCUCUCCCUCCUUGUGGCAGUUGUAUGUGGUUCCAGUUUAUUAGUAUGAAUAGUAACACUAUCAAGGUGAGCAGUCCAUAAGUGUUAUUUUGUCCAUAAAAUUAGUGUAAAAAGGUUGUGAAUUGUAAAUUGUCCCUGAAGUGAAGUGUUUCCAGGAAGGAGGUGUGAGAUGAGGCAUGCUUCCUCCCAUACAGAGUGUAGCACUCCAAUCUGCCUACCUGGCAAGGGAGAGAGAAGAGGGCACCCUAAAAUCCAUGGCCUGCUAUGCACUAUUUAGCACACUGAUCAGUCACCCUCUCCAAUGAACAGUGACACAGCAAUGAUUCCCUCUUCUGUGCUGCUAGAUGGAGGAGAUGAAGCAGAGUGUUGUAUUUUAAGAUUUCCAGAUUUGGACUUGAAGGAUCCUUUACCUUUGGCAGCCAAAAGCAACCACAGAGUGGAAUUAGAUACCAGUGUGAGGAAGAAAUAUGCAUUUGCCAGGAAGAAGGCCUUUGCCCUCUUUGUCAAAGCAAAGGAAGUGCCAGCUGCAGCUCGCUGCCCGCCAGCCACAUGCAGAGUGGGACAGUGGUGGGAAUGCUGCGGACGAACCUUUCCAGACCUCACCGGCAUGCACAGACACGUGGCCACGCAGCACUCCAGCGACAUCCAGCAGCAGACGGGCUUGAUUUUACAGCAGUUGGCUGCAGAAGCCGGCACCUCAGGAAACCCAGCUUCUGCAGACAAGGCAAAUGGGCUAAGAGGUCCCCCUUAUAACAGCCAGGAGCUCUCUGGGAGCCUCCCAGACACAAGCCACAUUAGUUCUGAUGAACUGACAAGCAGUGGCGAGGGAGAAGUGCUGCUGUAUUACUGUUACUGUGAGGUGGAAAACCCAGAGAGGCUCUGUGGCUGGCAGCAGUCUCUGUGCCAGCAGCUUCAUCUCACUGGCAAGGUGCGCAUUGCUUCAGAAGGAAUUAACGGAACAGUUGGUGGAAGCAAAGUAGCUACCAGUCUUUAUAUAGAGGCAAUGGUUUCCCAUCCUCUGUUUACAAACAUUUUGAGCAGAGAGGAUUUCAAGCGCAGCGCAGGAGGAGCACGCUGCUUCCCGGACCUGCGAGUUGGUGUAUUUGAAGAGAUCGUGCCGAUGGGCAUCGAGCCAAACGAAGUCUCCUACAAAGAAACUGGGGUCCAUUUAUCCCCCGAGGAGUUCCAUAAAGAAGUAGAACAGUAUCUCUCUCAGGCCCAAAGCGACACUGUGUUACUGGACUGCAGGAACUUUUACGAGAGUAAAAUAGGUCACUUCCGGGGCUGCCUGGCUCCCGACAUCAGGAAGUUCAGCUACUUCCCCAGCUACGUGGACGAGAACCGGGCGCUUUUUGAAAACAAGCGAGUGCUGAUGUACUGCACGGGAGGCAUCCGCUGCGAGCGCGGCUCCGCCUACCUCCGCGCCAAGGUGAGGGCCAUGCUGGGAGCACCAGGCCAGGGGCUGGGGGCAUCCAUUGCCCAGCCGGGGAGGACGCUGUGGGGGUGGCCUUUUCUGCCACUGGCUGGUGGCAAUGUGGUGUAUAGGGUGGCUAUAGAGCGUCAGGCCCGUGGUGUUUGUACAUGUGGUGGGAAUUAGGGAUGUGAACUCCUGGUUAAUUGGUUAAGCAUACUGUUUAAUGGAUUAAAUGGCCGGGGGGGUGGGGGGGCUGCUGCAGCCCCCUGCCCAUGACAGGUAGGGAGCUACCCCAGCUGUUAACCGUAACCAGUAAGUCUCCCUCCAUUAAGGGAAUCGUCAGAAGGGGACGGCCUGUGCCCCAAACCAUCAUUUCAUGUUGGAGCCCUCCCUGAAAUGAGAAUUGCAAUGGGGGGUGUCUCCAUUUUCAGCCCCCCCAGCUCUCCUUGUGCAGUCUGACCUGUGUAGAGCAAGGAGUGCUGGGUAAUCCAGUGUCCCCUCUGCCUCGUACCCCAGUGGCCCGUCAGAGCCCCGCGAGGCGCUGGGGGCUGCAGGGUGGCCGGCCGGGCUGGGUGGGCAAGGGGCAGUCCCGGGAUCCAGCGGCGCGCGAGGCAGCGUGGCACGGCCUAGGCCAGUCGGGCUGGCGCUUUGUUUCCGCAGGCGGCAUGCAGGGAGGUUUACCAGCUGCAGGGCGGCAUCCACAAGUACCUGGAGGAGUUUCCCGAUGGGUUCUACCGGGGGAAGCUGUUUGUGUUCGACGGACGUUUCGCCAUCUCGUCCAACGAGGACGUGGUUGCAGAAUGCAGGUACUGCGGGGCGCCGUGGGACCAGUACACACUGUGCUCCAGCCCACACUGCCGGCAGCUUGUCCUGGCUUGCCCAGGCUGCCGAGCAAAGGGAUUCACAGCUUGCUGUCCCGCUUGUCAGGAGAAGGGGCUGGAGCUGGCUGCACGCCCUUCAGGACGGCUGGCCAAGGAGGAGUGCGAGUGCACGGACCGACGGCAGCGGGUACCAGCCCAACACGCCGGAGGGAGCGUGUUCGGCGCCGGACGUUAGAUGCUGCACAGCUUACACUUGCGUUUAGGCUCGGGGCUUCCUAUGCUGAAUCCGAGUCACUCGUUGAGAACCCUGCGAUGGCUUCGAAACGCUCAGCCUGUGUCGCUGCACCGGGGACACCAAGAGUGGUGCAAGGAUUCCUCCCGCUGCAGCAAAGUCACUCUUCCGCCUCCCCCAGUGCGAGGGGCACCAGGGAGAACUUGGCAGGUGCUGGACUCCUCAUGGGGCUCGGCCCCUCCCAACCAAGUAGCAGGUAAAAGAACAAGCAAAGUCUGGGCUGGGUGUGUCGGGGGCCCGUCCCGUAGGGCCCUAGCUAGCGAGGGGGCAGCAGGUUCUCAUUCGCUGGGAGCACACGCAGACGGCGGCUGGGGCCAUUCUCCACUCCAACACCAGCAGCCAAGUCUCCACGCCCGUGUCCAGGGUAAGUCACACUCGUGACCAGCAGUGUGAGGCCAGUGCCUGGACCCACCACUGCCCCAGAGCAAACGCUGGUGCCGCUCAGUGGCCGUGGAGAGGUUCACCUGGCCAGGUGUGCUGUGUGGGAAGAGGGGGACAGGCACGUCCCUGCAGCCUCUGUCCUCCCUCGAGGCGCGCAGAGCCCAUGGCAGCCGCAGUUCCCGGGAUGGAUCUUUUAAAUGCCCACGAUACGGCCCAGGCCUCACUUUGUGCUGGGAGUCCUGCAGACGCAGGAGCUCUGAAGUGGAGCCAGCUGCUGAGGGAAGCAGGGGCCUGGUGCAAAUAGCAAGGAGCCCCCGGGCAUUGGAGCAGUGUGGAGAUCGCGAGGAGCGAGAUGCAUCCCCGUGGAGCCAGCACACGUCACCCUCAGCCCUUGCUAAGGCCUGUUAACCACCAGACCCUCACGCGAUGCCCUGGUAGUCCCUGGGCCAGGGCCAGGCUGCUCACGCACCUGCCAAUACAGCCUCUGCAAAGAGGGUUUGUUAUUCGCUUGGAAAACUUGUCCCUGCAGAAGCAAAUCCUCUGAGCAACGGGCCCUUGGGUCCCAGGGAAAGUCAGUUCGCAGCUGUGUCCUGACAGCGGCUUUGCUCAGUGUCACUGGGCCCGCGGUGAGGAAGAGCAAAUAGACGCCCUGCCCGCCUUGCCCGUCCGGCCGCGCUGCAGCCUGGUGCCUCUGCCACGUGCACGGUGCCUCUGCGCUCUUGCAGCAGCUGCAGCACCUCUCCUGCAUGGCUUAGCCCUCUGGCCAAGUCACGGUCGUCCUCCCCUGCCAGGCGUUCAUCGGAGUCUCCCUCAACACUUCCCUCUCCACCCUGCGGACUGCACCGCUCCCGCAGUGGUCAAACGGGCAGCCCAGGCUCCCUCUGCCCCCGGCUCCAAUCAGGGGAGGUCUGCCCCGGCCCCCCUUACUGCUCCGCCUUUGCUGGACUGCGUCAGUGCUGCCUCGGGGCAGGAGCAGGAGACCGGGGGGCUGUAGGGGACAAGGGGGCAGCUGCCAUCUCCAGCAUAGAAGGCAAGUUCAUUCCGUGCCCUCCAUUUUAAGGUUUAGUGUAUAGAUGUGUCCGGGGCGUGGCCUUUGCCAGAUACACCCACGGAAGCACACUGCCACCGCCUGCACGCUGAGCGGGUACAUGUCCACGCAGGCCCCAUGCUCGCUGCAGGCAGGGAUCCCCUUUGCCUCCAGCGGGAGCGACCUGCCAUCAUUUAUUGCAGCUCUGCUGGUGCAGAGCCAGGUGCUUUUCGCCAGGCCCUCUUCUCAGCUGUGCAAGUCCUCGCUCUGCUUGGCCCACGCUUGCGCUCUUCCCCCGUGAUUCCAGCACCACCUGCGGCACUACGGAGUGCACGGGCUCGCCCCAGGCACCCAACUUGCAUGCACAAGCCCUGCCUCCAGGGCCAGUCAUAAUCAAUUGGCAGCCCCAGGCAACUGCUGGGGAAAAUUUGUCAAGCAAAAAAAACCCCCCCACCAAAAUGCAGUCGCAGCCCCUUUAAUUGUCGUGUGUCCUGAGCGGACUUCCCUCGGGCUCUGUCAGCGGCCCCAGGCACCCACCCGGCUCGCCCACCCCUAAGACCGGCUCUGCCUGCCGCCUCCCUCAGCAGGGGGGCGCUGAUGCGCCGGCAGCAGGGUGCAGUGCUUUUUAAGAGCUGUUUUCAUGUAGAGUAAGAGCCUCCCCUCAGCCUGCACAGCAGGGCCCCUUCCAGCACUCCCCACCCACCCAGGGCAUCUGGGCAGGCCGUGCACACCUGGGUCAGUUCCAGUCUCCAUUCCCGAGUCGGAACUGUGCCAGUCUGGAUGGGCAACUCUGCCAGUCGCUAGCGACUGGAUCUGGCCUGAUGUUCUCGCGGACGUGCCUGGCGCUGUCCAAAUGGCGUUGGCCUAAGCAGGCCCGGCGGGCUGGGCAGCAUUCUCUAACAUUGGGGAUUGUACAAAAUAUUCUGUGGGCACCUUUUCGUUGUCACGUAGGAGACAUUUAUUAGGCUUUGACGAGCAGCAGCCAAACACGCUUAUAUUGCCCGCGCCAGGUUCCCGUGUGACAGUCAGAGCUACAGUAAAUCGGGGCCAAGCCUGACUCAUGCAAAAAUGCUACUGAAAUGGGUGGAAGUUUUGCUGUAAUACACAGUGCGCAGACUGCAGCCCUCCAGUGGGAACGGCAGCAGGCAGAAGGUUGUUCAGUGAAGAAGGCUGGCUGGAGGCUUUCAGUGCAUGAACAAAGGCCCUCGGUUGGCAGUGGUUCUGCCUGGGCAGACAGCCUGCUGUGCAGCCAAACGUCCGCUGGCAUCCCUGGGAGUCGGGGUGGGUGUAAUGGCCUGCGGGGGAGGUACCCGCUCCUUGACCCGCGGGAAAUUCCUCCCUAGAAAGACAUCACCCACACAAGCCCAGCUGCCUCGUGUGUUUAUCCAACUACUCAGAUGGCCCCCUGAACGACACGGGUUCCUGGGCGGGGCAUUUUCAAGUCAUGUUGUUAGUAGGGUGAACUAUUCAGAAACCUGGGAUGUUGGUAAAAUAAAGUCUCCAGCAGAACAAGAAGUUUUGCAGAUAAAUAACAUGGUUGUCCAGCCAGAAAACCAGACUUCAAGUGAGGGCUUCAGUGCACUCGUUACAAGGCCCAGUAGAAACACCACGGACACAUUUCCAACAGACGGUCCAGGGGGAAAUCCUGCCCCGACUGAAGCCAAUGAGAGUUUGCUCCUUACUUCAGUGGAGUCGGGAUUUCCUUCCCAAUCUCUCAAAGCAAUGGUUUUCCACAGCCACGUGAAAGGAGACUGGAAGAUUUCAACCAGCCCAUUCAAUAAUGACUGCUCUGUUUUGAUGGAGCUGUUACUUCAUAAUCAGUGGCCUCGUGUUCUUUGUGUUUGGUGGGGGGAGUGAUGAAUUCUUUUAGGGAAAAUAUGGGUGGUUUUGACAUCUUGUCUACAAACAUUGGAGUAAAUGUUGGUAUUUAACUGUAAUUUACAAGUUCCUAAAAGGGACAGUAGAAACGUGGUAGGAGAGUAGAAAUGCUUGUCCAACAGCUAAUGUAUCUAAUACUUGAGAGCAAGUUGAAAAAAUAAAAGUAUUUUUAAAUA